AUCCAUUCCAGUUAGGUGAUUCCCAAGCCUUACCUAGGCGGUGGGGUCGGAGAGAGAUGUCGCAGAGUGCAACACAGCGGUGCCGAAGGCUGCGUCAUCCCUAGAUUGCUGAAUCAGGGCGUAGUGGGAAGCGAAGGUAUGGACAGAAGACCAGGUUGCUGCCCGGCAGAUUUCCUCAAUGGGCACAUGAGCAAGAAAAGCAGCCGAUGAGGCUUGGGCCCUGGUAGAGUGCGCAGUCACGUGGCCCGGGGGGGGCGUGCGCCAAAUCAUAACAGGCGCGAAUGCAGGACGUUACCCACAAGGAAAUCCUCUGCGAGGAGAAGGGUAACCCCUUGACAUGUUCAGCCACCGCAACAAAGAGUUGGGGGGUUUUCCGGAAUGGCUUAGUUCACUCUAUGUAAAAGGCGAGCGCCCUACGGACGUCCAGCGAGUGUAGCUGCUGCUCCCUGCGAGUCAAAUGGGGGUUUGGGAAGAAGACAGGUAGGAAGAUCUCCUGGUUAACAUGGAAAACUGAUACCACCUUGAGGAGAAAGGCUGGGUGCGGCCUCAGCUGCACCUUGUCCCUGUGGAACACAGUAUAUGGGGGAUCUACCGUGAGGGCCCGAAGCUCCGAGACCCGUCUCGUUGAUGUGAUGGCCACUAGGAAAGCAGUUUUCCAUGAGAGGUAGAGAAGGGAGCAAGUCGCUAAUGGUUCAAAUGGAGGGGACUUGAGUCGGGUCAGAACCAGGUUAAGGUCCCAGGUAGGGGCAGGGUGGCAAACCUGGGGGUAGAGACGCUCCAAGCCCUUAAGGAAUCUAGUCACCAUAGGGUGAGAGAACACUGAGCGGCCAUCCCCCCUGGGUGAAAGGUGGAGAUGGCCGCCAGGUGAACCCGGAGAGAUGAUAUCGCUAGGCCUUGUUGCUUGAGGGACCAGAUGUAAUCGAGAAUAAUGGC